UGUUGAACGGUUAAGAUUGUCUA
rnacentral:siRNA from 1 species